rnacentral:sRNA from 1 species
AUCGCUUCUCGGCCUUUUGGCUAAGAUCAAGUGUAAAAAACCCAGUAAAUAAUUGUAUCUCAACCUAACCUAUU